AACGAACGCUGGCGGCAUGCCUAACACAUGCAAGUCGAACGAGACCUUCGGGUCUAGUGGCGCACGGGUGCGUAACGCGUGGGAAUCUGCCCUUGGGUUCGGAAUAACAGUUAGAAAUGACUGCUAAUACCGGAUAAUGUCUUCGGACCAAAGAUUUAUCGCCCAGGGAUGAGCCCGCGUAGGAUUAGCUAGUUGGUGAGGUAAAGGCUCACCAAGGCGACGAUCAGUAGCUGGUUUGAGAGAACGACCAGCCACACUGGAACUGAGACACGGUCCAGACUCCUACGGGAGGCAGCAGUGGGAAUUUUGGACAAUGGGGGGCGAACCCUGAUCCAGCAAUGCCGCGUGAGUGAAGAAGG
rnacentral:rRNA from 1 species